rnacentral:piRNA from 1 species
UAUAUUUCAAACACCUACACUACAAUUUCCC